UACGUAGGGUGCGAGCGUUGUCCGGAUUUAUUGGGCGUAAAGAGCUCGUAGGCGGUUUGUCGCGUCGGCCGUGAAAUCUCCACGCUUAACGUGGAGCGUGCGGUCGAUACGGGCAGACUUGAGUUCGGUAGGGGAGACUGGAAUUCCUGGUGUAGCGGUGAAAUGCGCAGAUAUCAGGAGGAACACCGGUGGCGAAGGCGGGUCUCUGGGCCGAUACUGACGCUGGAGGAGCGAAAGCCGUGGGGAGCGAACAGG
rnacentral:rRNA from 1 species